GCACCAUCCCCUUCGUGAAGCCACCGUUUUGUUCCCAAGACCAAACGCCUCUCACACCCUUCGCCUGGCGGCUGGCGGCUGUUCCCAUGGCUGGUCGACCUAGGUGACUAGGUCGCGAACGGUCCCGACGCGAGGGUCAUGGCGAUUCGGGCGGCUGGACGCGACGUCGCCUUCCAGGCACCGCCGCCCACCACGACCUCGAGCAGUGGUGGAACGUUGGCGCCGCUGCCAUCCAGCCCGACCCUAUGUUUCUGACACUAGCCUUGUGGAUCUGGCACCUCUCGCAGGUGCACAACCAGCACAAACGCGCUACAACGAGCAGCAUCAAGGGAUUUGGUUUGGGUGAUUAUAUACACGUCAUGACACCCUCUCCUCUACACGUUGAUGUCAAAUUCCCUCCUCCAAGGUCAAAGCGUUCUGCUAUGAGGUAAAGGAAUUUUUUGUGGAGGAAACUACUGUUCAGGUAUUGGUAGAUCUUCCUAACACUUUUCCUUUUGCAAUCGUAUCAUUUAAUUAAUAUAGUUAAUUGGUUGUUGCAAAAUAUAAUGAUGGCUUACUCUUUGCAGUUUUAGUAACAUCAUGCCAUCAUCCUCAUAGUCUUGUUAUGCACUUGUAUUUAGUUAUGUUCUUUUUAGUUUUCGUGUGUUGAAACAACCAAUUUGAAAAACCAGGAAGAGUAUCUUAGUGAUCACGUUUCAGUGCUGCAUACAAGAAGUUGCCCGCUCUGAGUUUUAUUUUAUGAAGCAGAGUUGAAUCUGCUCCAAGUGGAAGAUAAUGUUACUGUCUGUCAUUAUUGGUUUGCUGUUGCAAGAUUAUUACAUUAAUCAGUUAUAAGCUAGGAUUUUUGUGUUAGCCAAGCAUUUUACUAUGUACGUGUAUCCCAUUUGAAAUCCCUUCAACCCCAGUCAAAUUCCUAUUGAUAUCACUUCUAUGGUGAUUCCAUUGUUUAUACUAUUGAAGUUGUGAUUCCUUCCUGUUUCUUUCAUGGGUUAAUAUUUUAUGAUUAAUUACACAUCAAGAAAAGAUUUUUUAAAUAUAUUUUGGGUAGAAUUCUUAUUGUUCUAUGUCUUUGUUCCUUCGAAUUAGGCAUGAAAUAAGUUCAAUGUCAAUGUGUUGGUAGACCUCAUCUCCCAGCAUGCAUAUGUGUUGCUUCAGGAAUCAUGGCAAAAGAGGUUACAAUGUAUUUUUGCUAGAUUCUUAAUGAAUUCACUUUGUUUACAUGUGGAUGAACUAAUAGGCAAUCCCUUGACUAUAUUUUGACUUGACUACUUUUAGAGUAGGAGGGUCGUCUAUCUGACAGAUCAUAAAUCUGUUACUGUACAUAUUGUAAUGUUCUAAUCUGAAUGCAGUCAGUUGCUUAAUAUUACUAGAUGACUCGUUGCGCCAAUGGCACAAAGGGCGAGAGCAAGCCAAGUAUUAAAAGAGUACACAUAAAAAUAUUUAGAGACAGAUUGAAACAUAUGGAAAUAAAAAAUUGCUGCUGGCAAUGUCAUGAUUUUCUCUAACCAGUGUAAACAUAUAUAAAUAAUCUUUUAAAAAUAUUAGUAGAAGGGCAGUUGAUUACAUUUAUAGAACAAGUGAUCACAAGCUUCUUUUGAGCACAUAGACAGUAAUAAUGUCUAAAGUGUACAUGCAAUAUCAUACACGAAUGGAAAUCUAAAGGCUAUACAUAUCGUGCUCAGAGCAACGCCAAAAGGGCAAAGAUACUGGAUCAAUUGAUACGAAACAAAAGGUAGCACAUAUAGACUGAAAGUCACCAGAAACUAUCUUGUGUAGUCUUCAGGCGCUGCUCUGACUUCAUGCCAAUAUAGCGCAACCUCUGCUUCACUUCUUCAAUGCUGGGAUUAGCUACUAUAGUUCUUUCAAUAAAACAUUUUUUACACCAGUAGCAGCACCCGUAAGAUUAGCAAGUUUCCAGCAAAAGGAUCACAUGAGAAUCACAUAUCUAUAUCCUAUAUCAAGAGAAACAGAAACCCAACAAGAUGAACAAAGAAACAGAGGUAUCAAAACUGUAAUUGCUAUAAGAACAGAAGAUUGACUGCAUAGGGUUUCUUAUUACUAUUUUGUUUUAUGAUUCAUGCAUAUAUUUCCAGUCUGGAUUGGUAGCUAACAGGGAACUACACUUCAUUGCCUAGAGAGGUCAUACCUCUUAAGCCUAGGUGGCUGAGCAAGUCCAGUUUCCAUGGUGUUAGUAAGUGCAUAGCAGCAAUGCCGGCCAGUUCUGAUCCCUGUGACAGAGUCAAGCUAAUCAUUGGGAACCAUGCAAGAGGAAAAAAUAAAGAGGACGGUAAAUCCGAUAGAAAUACUAACGGUAGUUGAAACAAAAGAAUUUAUGAAAGUUGGUGUGACCACCCGGUCAUCAUCCUUCUCCUGCCAAACAAGGACACGUGUGUGUGGAACUGGAAAACAGGAGGGUAAAUGAAAAACAUGAAAAAUAAGAAAUAUGGGUAAGAAAAAUGAAGAAAGGAGAAAAUGCACUGGGCAUGGUACCAGGAACUACAGUCCCAAACAUCUUUCCGAUCCUGAUCUUCUGUAUAUAGGUAUGCAAGAAGUUUCAUGUGAUAUACUCGAAUGGUAAUAUCAGCCCUAUCGACUAUUUUUUGCCCAGGUUCAAGACUCUCCAUCAUCUCAGGCCGCUUUGGAUUACACGUGAAGGUUGUGAAGGCUGUGAUUAUAUCAGGCGAGGCUUGGACAUGGGAAAUAGUCAUUGCGGCGUGGAAGUUUUCAGUUAUGCAGCGACGCCCACCGGUAUAGGAUGAUGGCAUAAUAUUUUUCUCAUGGACCUCAGCUUCAUCAAGCUUACCAAGUCCAACAGCGUCAACAACAAGCUGGAGCUUUUUAGCGCACAUAUCGUCCCGAAGCUUUUCAGAAAGGACCUUGAUUGAGUAGUGAGAAGAUCAGAAGACAGUAAAUCAGCAUAGUCAGCGUAGCAGCAACCAAAUAAGAAGAUGAAGAUGAUAGGGCAGCAAGGAACCUGUGGUAAAUGGAGGCACAUGAAUCUUCUACAUGCAGAAAUAGCUGAAAUGAAACAGGUUUUGCUAUCUCAGGCACAACAGAUACAGUAGUUGCUCAACAUAAUCUAAAAAGCAAGAACAACGGGAAAAAUAAUAAAACAUUGGCUGAAAACAUAGAAAAAUUGAUAGCCAUAGUGGGAUAUAAACUGAUUAUGUUUUCUUUUUGCUUAGGCAAAAACAGACGUGAAUAUGACUAAAAACUGUUAUUUUUUCUAUGUAUGCGGAGGCAAGACCAAAGCAAGGUAAAUAAUAAGCUUUUGAACAUAUAUUUUUGGCUGCUGAUAAGUUAAACCUGUGUAUUUCUUUGUACCAAGCACACAGGUAAGACCGGAAAGAAAAUAAAGGAAGAGGAUUUUAGCAGGCCUUCUACAAAAACAAAUCGACCUUCUCUGUGUUGAACAUUAAAUUCAGCUGGCAAUUCUUGGCUUUGAUUUCCUGGUGAAUCCUUAUCGAUAUGCGAAGAAGGCGAAAAAGAACCUAGAAUGAUGAACUGCAGCAGGGAAUUAACAGGAAGAAGCGUGAUGUUUGCCUUCAAAGGUAAACCAAUGAAGGAGAAGGGCUUUUAGAUUAGCAAGCCCAGCAGCAAAUAGAAGAUAUAAGGAGGCGCACACAGUGUAACAGCAACGACAAGACAUAGUUUAAACAGCAUGGCCAAGCGGCAUUUACAGUGAGUAGAGAUUGUCAUAAGGAGGGAGAUAAGGCAGAAAGGGCCAACGGCAAUAUUUACAACGAUGGUUUGUUCGACAGGAUAGAAGGCGUCCUGAUUACGAAAUGCAUCAGCUGAAUUCCCUAUAGUAUCACAGCUUAGGUACUCUCUCUCA